UGGGGAAUUUUGGACAAUGGGCGAAAGCCUGAUCCAGCAAUGCCGCGUGUGUGAAGAAGGCCUUCGGGUUGUAAAGCACUUUUGUCCGGAAAGAAAUCCUUGGCUCUAAUACAGUCGGGGGAUGACGGUACCGGAAGAAUAAGCACCGGCUAACUACGUGCCAGCAGCCGCGGUAAUACGUAGGGUGCAAGCGUUAAUCGGAAUUACUGGGCGUAAAGCGUGCGCAGGCGGUUUGCUAAGACCGAUGUGAAAUCCCCGGGCUCAACCUGGGGACUGCAUUGGUGACUGGCAGGCUAGAGUAUGGCAGAGGGGGGUAGAAUUCCACGUGUAGCAGUGAAAUGCGUAGAGAUGUGGAGGAAUACCGAUGGCGAAGGCAGCCCCCUGGGCCAAUACUGACGCUCAUGCACGAAAGCGUGGGGAGCAAACAGGAUUAGAUACCCUGGUAGUCCACGCCCUAAACGAUGUCAACUAGUUGUUGGGGAUUCAUUUCCUUAGUAACGUAGCUAACGCGUGAAGUUGACCGCCUGGGGAGUACGGUCGCAAGAUUAAAACUCAAAGGAAUUGACGGGGUCAUAGCUGUUUCCU
rnacentral:rRNA from 1 species